ensembl:snRNA U1 U1 spliceosomal RNA
AUAUUUGCCUAACAGGGUAUCAGCUGCUCAUGCCUUGAUCACACAGCUUUCCCAGGGAGAGGCUCAUCUGCCUCACUCUGGGUGUGUUAAUCCCCGUGAUUUCUUCAAAUGUGGGAAACUCAACUGUGUAAUUUGUGAUAGCCAGAGACUGUGCUCACACUCUCCCC